GCUUACGGCCAUACCACCCUGAGAACGUCCGAUCUCGUCUGAUCUCGGAAGCUAAGCAGGGUCGGGCCUGGUUAGUACUUGGAUGGGAGACCGCCUGGGAAUACCAGGUGCUGUAAGCU
rnacentral:rRNA from 1 species